rnacentral:rRNA from 1 species
GCGUGAGUGAUGAAGGCCUUAGGGUUGUAAAACUCUUUCAGAUGGGAAGAUAAUGACGGUACCAUCAGAAGAAGCUCCGGCUAACUCCGUGCCAGCAGCCGCGGUAAUACGGAGGGAGCUAGCGUUGUUCGGAAUUACUGGGCGUAAAGCGCGCGUAGGCGGCUUAGCAAGUUGGGGGUGAAAUCCCGGGGCUCAACCUCGGAACUGCCUCCAAAACUGCUAAGCUAGAAUCCUGGAGAGGUGAGCGGAAUUCCUAGUGUAGAGGUGAAAUUCGU